rnacentral:rRNA from 1 species
ACAUAUCAAUAAGCGGAGGAAAAAGAAACCAAACAGGGAUUCCCCUAGUAACGGCGAGUGAAGCGGGAACAGCUCAAAUUUGAAAUCUGGCCCUUGGGUCCGUAGUUGUAAUUUGCAGAGGAUGCUUUUGGUGCGGUGCCUUCCGAGUUCCCUGGAACGGGACGCCUUAGAGGGUGAGAGCCCCGUACGGUUGGCCACCAAGCCUGUGUAAAGCUCCUUCGACGAGUCGAGUAGUUUGGGAAUGCUGCUCAAAAUGGGAGGUAUAUUUCUUCUAAAGCUAAAUACUGGCCAGAGACCGAUAGCGCACAAGUAGAGUGAUCGAAAGAUGAAAAGCACUUUGAAAAGAGGGUUAAAUAGCACGUGAAAUUGUUGAAAGGGAAGGAUUUAUGACCAGACUUUUUCUAGGGGGAUCAUCCGGUGUUCUCACCGGUGCACUUCCCCUAGUUGAGGCCAGCAUCGGUUUCUGUCGGGGGAUAAAAGCUUCAGGAAUGUGGCUCCUUCGGGAGUGUUAUAGCCUGUUGCAUAAUACCCUGACGGGGACCGAGGUUCGCGCAUUGCAAGGAUGCUGGCGUAAUGGUUAUUAAUCACCCGUCUUGAAACACGGACCAAGGAGUCGAACAUUUGUGCGAGUGUUUGGGUGUUAAACCCUCACGCGUAAUGAAAGUGAACGGAGGUGAGAGCCCUUCGGGGUGCAUCAUCGACCGAUCCUGAUGUCUUCGGAUGGAUUUGAGUAAGAGCAUAACUGUUCGGACCCGAAAGAUGGUGAACUAUGCGUGGAUAGGGUGAAGCCAGAGGAAACUCUGGUGGAGGCUCGCAGCGGUUCUGACGUGCAAAUCGAUCGUCAAAUCUGCGCAUGGGG